rnacentral:lncRNA from 1 species
UUUUUUUUUUUUUUUUUUACCUCUUCCAAAAGACAACCUCUUAGGUGUCCAGCUCCCUAUCACUCCAUCCAUUCUCCAAUCCCUGUGCGAACUGGGUGCUGUCGCCAGUUCCUCUGGGCUACCCAGAUGCCACUCAUUGCAGAGAUUCAGAGUCAUUAAAUCUUGCCAGACCUGACCUGGAGGCCUGGGAGGGGAAAGGCAUUACAGAAGAGGCAUGAUCCCAGAACCAUGCACACUCCCUUUCAAGACUCAACACACACAGACUUAGUGAGGCUCCGGUCCCAGUUUGACUCAUGAUCCCUAAGCCUAGAGACUGGGGCAUUUCCCCAAGGCAAGCAAUGGAAAGAGUUUUGUCUCACUUCUGACUGAGGACAUUCCCACAACUUCUGAAGUUUGGGUUCAUCCUUAGAACCAACAGAUUUUUCACCUAGGGUAGAAUUUUCUACAUUCAUAUUUUGUUUCUCCGUAGCAAGAUUCAUAUCGCCUAGAGGAGCCAGUGGAUUCUGAAGUUGUCUUCAGCUUCAAAAGCCCCUAAGCCUCUCUUCUCAAAAUGACAGCACCACCUGGAGAUGCUACACGGAGAGACAUGGAGUUUCACACAUGAAAAAGAGAAAAGCAGCCUGUGUUAUUUGGAAUCAUCUCUUUUUCGAGGCCCUUCCUUCUCUAAACAUAAUGGUUCUUCUCUUGUCCUCAAUUUUUGCUACCAUGCAUCCAUUCCUGAUUAUAUUACCAGGAUGAGGCCCAGCCCUCAAUCCUCAUGUUUUCAUUAGACCUAGAAAAACAAUGUGAAAUGGAGAGGCCCACCUACGGCAUCAACAAAGGUACUAGUUCGACCCUUCCAGGCCCAUUUUUCAGAAAAGCACUGUAAGAUUUUCUUUUGAAAACUCCUGGUUACUUAAAUAAAGGUGUAUAUUGCAUAGAACUCUCUUUCCUCCCAUCCAGAAGUGAAUUCUAAGACUGUGGUUCUUCAGAAAUUAUAGAUGGGAUUGCUAAGCAUCUUAGGAAAAGUGACUUUAAAUUAGUAGUAAUUUCACGGAUGAAGUAAAAGCUUGCUUCUGAGUCCCUAUACUUCACGUGAAAGUAUCCACAUAGAACGUCCAUUAAAUAAUUACCAACUUGUGUCCCCUUGGAUUCCUAAUGGUUGGAGUAUUUGUUGAAUAGAGAUGGGUAGAGAUGUGUGUUUCUGCACCAUCAAGUAUGCCAAAUAAUUUUAAAAUAGCUGGAUGUUUCUUCAAAUAUUUAUCCCAUGGCACUUAAAGUAAUGAAGAAUAUCGUGAAAUUUCUGAAUUUCUAUUGAAAAAAACAAGGUUCUAAUGAAAUAAAGGGUGCAUCAAUCAUACAUUCUGCUUGUUAAUGAAAUAUACUCAGGGCAUGAAGAGUUCCCACAAACCCAAUUUGAAGAUUUGGAUUUGUCAGCAUGAGAACUGAGUAGUCCCAACUCUUAACUGUAGACAAUCCAUAAGCAAGAGAAUCCGUUGGGACACCAGAGGGAUAACUUUCAUGUUAGGUGCCAGGGCCAAUGUCCACAGUUUCUGUGCAGGAUAAUGAUGGGGCUUUCUGAUGCUGAAAUCCAAGAUCGGCAUGAAGACACUAACCAAAUGUGAGAAGCCUUCCGGAGUCUUUGUUUGCAUUUUUGCCAACCCUGAACAUCCGGAGGACCUCAUAUCCUAAGUUACUCUAGUGGCAGAGGAGCCAUGGAGUUUCUUUGAGCGCCUAAGGUUACUGUGCUCCAAGGAUUCGUGAGAAUAUGGAGGGGAAAGAUUUUGAGAUUCCCAGAGGGAGCUCUGAUGAAAGUCUCAGAGUAGAUACCCUUAGAAAGAUGGUCCAUUUCUCUGGAGGUCUUUUCAGUCUGGUCUAGACAAGACAGAAGUCAUCUGGAAGAAUGGUAACUUGAGUUCCACAUUUCUAGAACUUCAGAUCCUGAAUUGUAGGUUUGACUGUCCCUGCAUCAAACUGUAAAAAUGAAUGUUUUCAUCAAAGGGUGAGAAUUCACUGUUUCCUUUGUGACCAGCUCAUGAGAGUUUACAAAAUGAAGAGGUAAGCAGUGGACUCCCUAACAGAAGAGAUUGUACUCUCUGGCACUAGCAGGAAGAUUUAUGAUCUCAGAAGUAUAGCUGAUCAGAGUGUGAUCUUGAGCCAGCAGAACCUGGGCCACUAUGCAAUGGCCAUACUGAUGAGAAGACAGAGGUGGCCAGGAUGGUCCAGUGAAGACCAUUUUCUACCUUUAGCUGGACCACUUUUUUUUCAUUUGUUUUUGUUGAAGUUGAAUUUGCCAACAUAUAGUAUAACACCCAGUGCUCAUCCCAUCCAGUGCCGUCCUCAGUGCCUGUCACCCAGUUAUCCCAACCCCCCGCCCAUCCCCCCUUCCACAAUCCUUUGUGUAUAUUGCCCUGGGUAACAUUGACAUUUUCACAGUAUUUAUUCUUCCAAUCCAUGAGCAUGGACUAUGUUCCCGUCUCUUUACAUCU